rnacentral:rRNA from 1 species
GACGAACGCUGGCGGCGUGCUUAACACAUGCAAGUCGAACGGAAAGGCCCUGCUUGCAGGGUACUCGAGUGGCGAACGGGUGAGUAACACGUGGGUGAUCUGCCCUGCACUUCGGGAUAAGCCUGGGAAACUGGGUCUAAUACCGGAUAGGAGCCAUUUUUAGUGUGAUGGUUGGAAAGUUUUUUCGGUGUAGGAUGAGCUCGCGGCCUAUCAGCUUGUUGGUGGGGUAAUGGCCUACCAAGGCGGCGACGGGUAGCCGGCCUGAGAGGGUGGACGGCCACAUUGGGACUGAGAUACGGCCCAGACGCCUACGGGAGGCAGCAGUGGGGAAGAUUGCACAAGGGGCGCAAGCCUGAUGCAGCGACGCCGCGGGGGGGAUGACGGCCUUCGGGUUGUAAACUCCUUUCGCUAGGGACGAAGCUUUUUGUGACGGUACCUAGAGAAGAAGCACCGGCUAACUACGUG